CCACCGGAGCUGUGGACUGCAUCCAGACGCUGUGGGAAACCUAGGGGGCAGAGAUGUCACCCCCGACAGAAGGCGGCUGUGCAGGAGAUGUGCUGAGUUCGUGCCUGGGGAAGGGAGUCUGGCUACCAGCCUGCAGGGCUUCUGAGCCCACGGCGUCUGUGCAGCCACGGGAAGUGGGACUCACUCGGCUUUCAGCACCACAAAGACAAUCAAAGAAUCUGGCAGGUUUCAGAUCAGGAAAUCAGGAUCCAUAGACUCCCAAAGGCCUCCACAGAUAAACUUGAGAAUCUCAUGGACCCUGAAGUUAUAUGUGCAUCUUCAAGGGCUUGCAGGCAUUCCGCUGACUUCGCUGGACUGACAGCUGGACAGAGAGCUGGCUCGGCCUUCCUUGGUGUGGGAACUGCCUGGGAGACUCAGCAUAAAGGAGCAGAGGUGGAUCGCUCCUGCAGGCAUGUGGUUCCCAAAACAGAAAAGGGGACAGUGAGAAAACUGAGGCACAGAGAAGUUGAAAGCUGCCUAAGGUUCUGCAAUGAAUGAGUGCCACUGUCAGAAUUCCAACACAAAGGACCAGCUGCAGAGCCCAGGAUCUUAACUACUCUGCUAAUCCUUGUGGGCAAAAAUUAUGCAUAUGUAAAUGCUCUUUGCUUAAAUACAGAUGUGGAUGGAUGAACGUAUGUAGGUCAGCCUACCACCAUUUUUCCCUUUUCCUCUUGCUUUUUUUUUUCUUUACAGGAAAAUUACUUGUUUUAUUUCAUAAUAUAUUUGCAUGCUUUUCCAGCUAUAAACAUAGAGAAUUAAGUUCAUCUUUGACAAUAGUUGUCUCAUAAUUCAUGGUCAAAUAUGCUAUAUUUAGCCAUUUCAUUACUCACAGGCAUUUAGAUUCUUUCC
rnacentral:lncRNA from 1 species